rnacentral:rRNA from 1 species
CCAAUAGCGUAUAUUAAAGUUGUUGCAGUUAAAAAGCUCGUAGUUGAACUUCGGGGUUUACUCAUUGGUCAGGCUUAAUUGUCUGUACUGGUUAGAUGAAUCUCUACCUUCUGAGGAACUUUCAUGCCAUUUAUUUGGUGUGAUGGGAAAUCAGGACUGUUACUUUGAAAAAAUUAGAGUGUUUAAAGCAGGCUAACGUCUGAAUACAUUAGCAUGGAAUAAUGAAAUAGGACGGACUGAUUCUAUUUCGUUGGUUUCUAGGAUCACCGUAAUGAUUAAUAGGGAUAGUUGGGGGCAUUAGUAUUCAAUUGUCAGAGGUGAAAGUCUUGGAUUUAUUGAAGACUAACUACUGCGAAAGCAUUUGCCAAGGAUGUUUUCAUUAAUCAAGAACGAAAGUUAGGGGAUCGAAGACGAUCAGAUACCGUCGUAGUCUUAACCAUAAACUAUGCCGACUAGGAAUCAGACGAUGUUAAUUUUUUAAUGACUCGUUUGGCACCUUACG